UGUAUAUGUACAAAAAAUAAUAUACAUACAUACAAAAAAUAAUACAUAUAUACAAAAAAUAAAACAUACAUACAUACUAUAUAUAUAUAUACUAGAAUAAUAUAUUAAAAAAUAAUACAUACAUACAUACAAACAAUUAUAAUUCAUACAUACAAACUAUAUGUGUGUGUGUAUAUGUACAAAAAAUAAUAUACAUACAUACAAAAAAUAAUACAUAUAUAAAAAAAAAUAAAACAUACAUACAUACUAUAUAUAUACUAGAAUAAUAUAUUAAAAAAAUAAUACAUACAUACAAACAAACAAUUAUAAUUCAUACAUACAAACUAUAUAUGUGUGUAUAUGUACAAAAAAUAAUAUACAUACAUACAAAAAAUAAUACAUAUAUACAAAAAAUAAAACAUACAUACAUACUAUAUAUAUACUAGAAUAAUAUAUUAAAAAAAUAAUACAUACAUACAUACAAACAAUUAUAAUUCAUACAUACAAACUAUAUAUAUGUGUGUGUAUAUGUACAAAAAAUAAUAUACAUACAUACAAAAAAUAAUACAUAUAUACAAAAAAUAAAACAUACAUACAUACUAUAUAUAUACUAGAAUAAUAUAUUAAAAAAAUAAUACAUACAUACAUACAAACAAUUAUAAGUCAUACAUACAAACUAUAUAUAUGUGUGUAUAUAUGUACAAAAAAUAAUAUACAUAUAUACAAAAAAUAUUACAUAUAUAUACAUAAAAAUAUAUACAAAAAAUAAUACUAC
rnacentral:lncRNA from 1 species